AUUGAACGCUGGCGGCAUGCUUUACACAUGCAAGUCGAACGGUAACAGGUUAAGCUGACGAGUGGCGAACGGGUGAGCAAUGCAUCGGAACGUGCCCGAUCGUGGGGGAAACGCAGCGAAAGCUGCGCUAAUACCGCAUACGAUCUGAGGAUGAAAGCGGGGGACCGUAAGGCCUCGCGCGAUCGGAGCGGCCGAUGUCAGAUUAGGUAGUUGGUGGGGUAAAGGCCCACCAAGCCGACGAUCUGUAGCUGGUCUGAGAGGACGACCAGCCACACUGGGACUGAGACACGGCCCAGACUCCUACGGGAGGCAGCAGUGGGGAAUUUUGGACAAUGGGCGAAAGCCUGAUCCAGCAAUGCCGCGUGCAGGAAGAAGGCCUUCGGGUUGUAAACUGCUUUUGUACGGAGCGAAAAGGUCCUUUCUAAUACAAGGGGCUCAUGACGGUACCGUAAGAAUAAGCACCGGCUAACUACGUGCCAGCAGCCGCGGUAACAC
rnacentral:rRNA from 1 species